UGGGGAAUCUUGGACAAUGGGCGAAAGCCUGAUCCAGCCAUGCCGCGUGAGUGAAGAAGGCCCUAGGGUUGUAAAGCUCUUUCAGCGGGGAAGAUAAUGACGGUACCCGCAGAAGAAGCCCCGGCUAACUUCGUGCCAGCAGCCGCGGUAAUACGAAGGGGGCUAGCGUUGUCCGGAAUUAUUGGGCGUAAAGAGCUCGUAGGCGGUCUGUCGCGUCUGCUGUGAAAGUUCGGGGCUCAACCCCGGAACUGCAGUGGGUACGGGCAGACUAGAGUGCGGUAGAGGAGACUGGAAUUCCUGGUGUAGCGGUGGAAUGCGCAGAUAUCAGGAGGAACACCAGUGGCGAAGGCGGGUCUCUGGGCCGCAACUGACGCUGAGGAGCGAAAGCGUGGGGAGCGAACAGGAUUAGAUACCCGUGUAGUCC
rnacentral:rRNA from 1 species